GACGUAGGGGGCAAGCGUUGUUCGGAAUUAUUGGGCGUAAAGCGCUCGUAGGCGGGACAGGAAGUUCGUGUUGAAAGACCUCGGCUCAACUGAGGGACCGGCUCGAAUACUCUUGUUCUUGAGGCAAUCAGAGGGUGAUGGAAUUUCCGGUGGAGCGGUGAAAUGCGUAGAGAUCGGAAAGAACACCAACGGCGAAAGCACUCUGCUGGGCCGACACUGACACUGAGAGACGAAAGCUAGGGGAGCGAAUGGG
rnacentral:rRNA from 1 species